rnacentral:rRNA from 1 species
GACGAACGCUGGCGGCGUGCUUAACACAUGCAAGUCGAACGGAAGGGCCCUGCUUUUGUGGGGUGCUCGAGUGGCGAACGGGUGAGUAACACGUGAGUAACCUGCCCUUGACUUUGGGAUAACUUCAGGAAACUGGGGCUAAUACCGGAUAGGAGCUCCUGCUGCAUGGUGGGGGUUGGAACGUUUCGGCGGUUGGGGAUGGACUCGCGGCUUAUCAGCUUGUUGGUGGGGUAGUGGCUUACCAAGGCUUUGACGGGUAGCCGGCCUGAGAGGGUGACCGGCCACAUUGGGACUGAGAUACGGCCCAGACUCCUACGGGAGGCAGCAGUGGGGAAUAUUGCACAAUGGGCGGAAGCCUGAUGCAGCAACGCCGCGUGCGGGAUGACGGCCUUCGGGUUGUAAACCGCUUUCGCCGGUGACGAAGCGUGAGUGACGGUAAUGGGUAAAGAAGCACCGGCUAACUACGUG